UACGUAGGGUGCAAGCGUUGUCCGGAAUUAUUGGGCGUAAAGAGCUCGUAGGCGGUCUGUCGCGUCUGCUGUGAAAACUCGGGGCUUAACCCCGGGCCUGCAGUGGGUACGGGCAGACUAGAGUGCGGUAGGGGGAGACUGGAAUUCCUGGUGUAGCGGUGGAAUGCGCAGAUAUCAGGAGGAACACCGAUGGCGAAGGCAGGUCUCUGGGCCACUACUGACGCUGAGAAGCGAAAGCAUGGGGGAGCGAACAGG
rnacentral:rRNA from 1 species